rnacentral:rRNA from 1 species
UACGUAGGGUGCAGGCGUUAAUCGGAAUUACUGGGCGUAAAGCGUGCGCAGGCGGCUUUGCAAGUGACGGGUGAAAUCCCUCGGCUUAACCGAGGAACUGCCUGUCAAACUGCGAGGCUUGAGACCGGGAGAGGUGAGUGGAAUUCCCAGUGUAGCGGUGAAAUGCGUAGAUAUUGGGAGGAACACCAGUGGCGAAGGCGGCUCACUGGACCGGUACUGACGCUGAUGCGCGAAAGCGUGGGGAGCAAACAGG